rnacentral:piRNA from 1 species
UAACAAAUGUAAGACUAGGCUCAUGUUGC